UAGGACGCCGUGCGAGAGGCGGUCUCUCUCUUCUUCCUCUGGAUUCUGUCGCCUGAAUGUGACACCCAGCACCGCGGCCACUAUCUUGCCACCAGCCGGGAGGGUGGGGGAGGACCAAGCCAGCGUCGAGGCUGGCAGAGCAGAGAGGCGGAAAGAACCUGGGCGCUUGAGGACACCUCCGAGCCAGGGAGCCGGCCGCCCCCGCCGCCGGCCCCAGCUUCCUGUGGAGUGAAUUCUGCACGUGUAGUGACCCCUGAGCACCUGUGGCGGAAAUCCUAGAGAAGCGGCACAAGCCCCUCGGACCUGCUCCGAGGGCCCUGGGAGCAGCUGGAGGCUCUGAGACACACCCCCCACACCCCCCCCAGAGACGCAGCCAGGGACCCAAAGUGCAAACCCUCUAGAGCCAGUUUGGCCUCUUUGCAAGUGACUUCAUUGCUGUUGGUGACGUUAAGGAAAACCAGCCCCGAGGGCAGACGUGUUCACGUAACUCUACUGUCACUGCCAAGAAGGCAACAGUCCAGAUCCCCACAGCGAGGAGGCAGCGCAGCCCUGUGUGGUUCCAUGAACGUUGCACCUGUCCUGUGUCAGUCCCUGCACCAGGUGGGCAGUCAGGAGAGGAAAGGAGGCCCAGCCCUGCCCUGGGAAGCUCGGCGCCUCAUGAGGGCUCACAGACGACUGCAAAGCAGCGUGAUCGGAGCCUGAGAAAGGCACGCAGAAAAGUCCAGAAAGAAAGCUCCGUGCAGUCCUGCUUUGCACUGCACCUCCUUUAACUUUCUCGUGACGCCAAGAGCACCUCCGGGCCCCACUCGGGCACUGCCUCGCGCACGUCUGCAUCUCCCGUGCCUAGAACAACCCCUGACGUAGGUGCACCAGCUGGCCCCAGCCGGGGAGAGCCACCUGCGCCCCUCUCCGCCGAGUUCCGUGUUUGGGGCCAUUGCAGUGGUAGCUGGAAAUCGGGAGAUUUACACCAGGGCAAUGGGCGCGCGCGCUUCUGUUUCCCAGAGAGCCACUUGUUCAACCUCCAGCAGCACACCACUCUCGAAGCCCCCAAUUUCUUUGAAGCAUCCCACCUUUUCUUUGAAAUUCCCAUGUAGUUUGCAAUUACAUCACAAGAGAUUAUUUUUUAUUUUAAUAAAACAUCUUUAAUGACCGGUUACGUUUCUUUAUUCCCACCCGCCAUGCUUUGUGAAAACGGAUACUCUGUGCAGGCUGCCGCGUCUGUCCCGUGGGUCGGUUGCGUGCAACUGCAGCUGGAUCCCCUGGUUUGAACAGCAGCGUCGUGGGGAGGGGGGACCAGGCAGGGCAGAGGGGGUGUGCGGGGCAGUGACGCUGUUCUGCGUGAUGUGCCGUCCCAGCCCGUGGAACGUCCAGCACCAAAAGGGAACCCCGAUGUGGCCUGUGGACUCCGGGAGAUGACAAAGAUCCCUCGAGGGUUCACGGACGGUAGACAAUGUCCCGCUCUGGCGCUGGAGGCUGACGGUUGGGGGGCUGUGCGUGUGCCAGGUG